GACAGAGUGCCUGAGUGGUCCAAAGGGCACGACUAGAAAUCGUGUGGGUUCGCCCUCGCAGGUUCGAAUCCUGUCUCUGUCG
rfam:Ophiocordyceps unilateralis strain SC16a Contig_13, whole genome shotgun sequence.